rnacentral:rRNA from 1 species
GAUGAACGCUGGCGGCGUGCCUAAUACAUGCAAGUCGAGCGAACAGACGAGGAUCUUGCUCCUCUGACGUUAGCGGCGGACGGGUGAGUAACACGUGGAUAACCUACCUAUAAGACUGGGAUAACUUCGGGAAACCGGAGCUAAUACCGGAUAAUAUAUUGAACCGCAUGGUUCAAUAGUGAAAGACGGUUUUGCUGUCACUUAUAGAUGGAUCCGCGCCGCAUUAGCUAGUUGGUAAGGUAACGGCUUACCAAGGCGGCGAUGCGUAGCCGACCUGAGAGGGUGUUCGCCCACACUGGAACUGAGACACGGUCCAGACUCCUACGGGAGGCAGCAGUAGGGAAUCGUCCGCAAUGGGCGAAAGCCUGACGGAGCAACGCCGCGUGAGUGAUGAAGGUCUUCGGAUCGUAAAACUCUGUUAUUAGGGAAGAACAAAUGUGUAAGUAACUAUGCACGUCUUGACGGUACCUAAUCAGAAAGCCACGGCUAACUACGUG